rnacentral:tRNA from 1 species
AUCGCCGGAAACCCGUCCGGGGGGUUUAAGGGGUGCCGGGCCUGCCAAAGUGGGCCGGUAGCUCAGCCUGGGAGAGCGCCGGCUUUGCAAGCCGGAGGCCCCGGGUUCGAAUCCCGGCCGGUCCACCACGAAGAGGUGCACAUCCCGAGUUUGCUCGGGGUGGAAGGGCCUGAGACCCCGAACAGGGGUCACGAUGAGGGCCGUGCAUAGGCGAGCUGGUCCAGGAAACGCCCCGCCCGGU